AAAUCAUAUAAACCGGUUUUUUUACGGUCACUUCUAUCGUCUCUUCCUAUUCCAUCCGCCCUUUCACCCAAAACUCCAAAACCAUCCUGACUUUGCCAUCGUCCAAGGCUACCGACCUUCUACUGCCGGCACCGUUUUCCGGCAACCCGGCACCGUCCUUCCUUCUUUCUCAAUCGUUUAGUUCUGACUAAGAGAACAACAUUCAUGUUCACCAAUGACCAAAGGCAACAAGAGCGAACAGGAAGAUAUGGAACUCCUAGGUUGCAAUACCUUCAGGAAUUGGUGACUCAGUUUCAGAUCGCAUCUGAGGAUGGUAGGGACCCAUCAUUUGUCUUUGCAAUAAGGAAAACUACACAAGAUGAAUUAAGAUGCCCUUGCGUAAUUGCAGCUUAAUGUUUUGGAACUUUUCCUUGACUGUAUAACUGAACCCAAUGAAAAGCUUAUAGAAUUUGGUGUUGGAGGGAUCUGCAAUGGCUGUGUUGAUCCAGCCAAUGCUGCAAUUAUAGCUGGAGUUGGUGGAAUUCCUCUUAUCAUUCAAUGUUUAUCAAGCCCAGUUAGGAACACUGUAAAUUAUGCACUCGGGGCACUUUAUUAUGUCUGUAAUGAAUCUAACAAGAAAGAGGUUUUAAAGCCUGAAGUUGUUGAUGUCAUCAAGAGGUAUGCAACAGCUGAAGAAGUUAGUGUGAGCUUCAGUAAUCUGGCUAGAGCUUUUCUAGACAAACAUGUAGCAGGGAACUAGUAUGUGAGACAGUCCAUAAUUCCAUUUUCAGUUAAGAAUUUAUAUUUCUUCUGAGGAAUGUGGCCACUGCAUGCAAUUGAAAGUUUUUCAUUUCCUGAUUCUUAUAAGGUUACCUUUUAAUUAUUCUGAAUUAGUUAAAAUAACACCUUGCUUUGGUUUGGCA